CGAACGCUGGCGGCGUGCUUAACACAUGCAAGUCGACCGGAAAGGCCCUGCUUUUGUGGGGUGCUCGAGUGGCGAACGGGUGAGUAACACGUGAGUAACCUGCCCUUGACUUUGGGAUAACUUCAGGAAACUGGGGCUAAUACCGGAUAGGAGCUCCUGCUGCAUGGUGGGGGUUGGAAAGUUUCGGCGGUUGGGGAUGGACUCGCGGCUUAUCAGCUUGUUGGUGGGGUAGUGGCUUACCAAGGCUUUGACGGGUAGCCGGCCUGAGAGGGUGACCGGCCACAUUGGGACUGAGAUACGGCCCAGACUCCUACGGGAGGCAGCAGUGGGGAAUAUUGCACAAUGGGCGGAAGCCUGAUGCAGCAACGCCGCGUGCGGGAUGACGGCCUUCGGGUUGUAAACCGCUUUCGCCUGCGACGAAGCGUGAGUGACGGUAAUGGGUAAAGAAGCACCGGCUAACUACGUG
rnacentral:rRNA from 1 species